AAAUGAUAGUUUGAUAAGUAGAAUUAUAACGUUACAAUACUGAUAUGCUCAAAAAUCAAUAAGCGGUAAAUAAAAACACGCUAAUCCGCCUAAUUUUUCAUUAACUGCCAACAAACAAAUUCAAGCUCUUUUGCUGUCCAAGACCAAAACCAAUUACUUUCUAUAGCACUAAAACAAAAAAAAAAUUAAGAAAAAAAACAUCUUGCUAUCUCCGCCAACUCUAUCUUCUCCAUCUUCAGUUGAUAUCUAUCGCCAUCUCCGUCGACUCCAUUGCUCGGCAUCUCUCUCUCUCACUCUCGCAAUUCACAUCAACUCUCCUCAACUUUGAUUUCAAUCCACGAUUUAUAAGGUGUGUGUUCUGAUAUAUCGGGGGAAGGAUUCACAAGUACAGCAUAAUCACCAUAAAGGUUAGACACAUCUAUCGAUUUAUUCGCCUUUUGUAGCCUUUUGUAGCCUUUUGUAGCUUUAGUUUCUCGGUGAUUGACUGUAGAAAAUACGUUUUCAACUAUGAUGUUUAACUUGUCGUCAUUGCUGCUUGAAUCAUGUAUACUUGUUUGAACUGUGGCAAUGGACCUAACUAGGAUUGUAACAUCAAUGUUGGACAAGGCUUGGGUUCAUUUAUGCAGGAGUUGAUUCUGCAUACGAGAGGGGUCCUUGGAGUUUUGUUAACGCUGUUAGUAAAGUAGUAAAUAAAUAUAGUAAGGCAGUAAAUUAAGCAGUAAACAAGUUGAACAAUACAAUUGUUCAGCUUGGCAGAGAGUUGUUUGAUGGAAGGAUGGUUGCUAGAUCUAGGGUUUGUAUUCAUGUAAUCAUGGUUAUAAUGAUAUUGAGGUUAUUUGUUGCUUGCAAGAUAUUGUAAAACUCAAACAAUAACAAUAAUCUACAAGCUCUCGCAUGUCUA